rnacentral:piRNA from 1 species
UGGGAAGUAUUUUCUGAGAGCACAGA